rnacentral:rRNA from 1 species
AACGAACGCUGGCAGCAGGCUUAACACAUGCAAGUCGAGCGCCCCGCAAGGGGAGCGGCAGACGGGUGAGUAACGCGUGGGAAUCUACCCAUCUCUACGGAAUAACGCAUGGAAACGUGUGCUAAUACCGUAUACGUCCUUCGGGAGAAAGAUUUAUCGGAGAUGGAUGAGCCCGCGUUGGAUUAGCUAGUUGGUGGGGUAAAGGCCUACCAAGGCGACGAUCCAUAGCUGGUCUGAGAGGAUGAUCAGCCACACUGGGACUGGGACACGGCCCAGACUCCUACGGGAGGCAGCAGUGAGGAAUAUUGGACAAUGGGCGCAAGCCUGAUCCAGCCAUGCCGCGUGAGUGAUGAAGGCCCUAGGGUUGUAAAGCUCUUUCACCGGUGAAGAUAAUGACGGUAACCGGAGAAGAAGCCCCGGCUAACUUCGUGCCAGCAGCCGCCGUAACAC